ACGCAGCAGAGUCUGAAGGGGAAUUAGCUUUGAUCUCUGCCACCUGAAGCGCAGGCUCACCAUUAGCAGUUUCAGGUGGACGUGUCUGUAGUGUAAUGCAGGUCCCCGGUUCCGCUGUCUUUAGGAAGGCUGGGAGCUUCGCUGCGUCUCUGUUUGUGGAGCCCUGUUUUCUGUUUGAACUGGCGUGUAGCUGCUCUCCUUCAGACAGCGGAAUUUAGCACAGUGAAACCUUUCGGAAACUGAGGAUUUUAAUGGAAGUUCAGCUUCUUCCCGCUUGUCUGGUGCACGGUGCUUUCAGAUUGAUAUAGGCUGAGCCUGGACUCAUCUCUUGCCAGAUGCCUGAGACAUCACGUGGACCUGCGCUUUGGAGGCAGAAAUCGGUGGCUCUGCCAAGCUCCUCCGCUCCCUGAGUCAUCCCCUGCCACUGGCAGCAGCGUCCCAGUGCUCCCCCAGCUGCGCAGCACCCGACGGCCAUCGGCUGGUAACGCAACAAGUCAAUAAGAGAAUUAUUUUCCCACUCUCCCACUAGAUGCCCGCCUUUCUAGCAAAGUGGUCCACAGACUGGGAAUGGAUUUUUUCCUCUUUGAAAGAUAAACAUUCUCCAGCUGUCACGGUGUUUAAGAGCGGGGUUUGCUUCAUGGCUGACCAGCGCUAGCUAAGAUUUCAUGAAUCACUACGUACCCUGGCAAAAACAUUCACCCUCCUCUGAACAGUGCAUCGAUUA